rnacentral:rRNA from 1 species
CGGGCGGCAGCAGUCGAGAAUUUUUCUCAAUGGGGGAAACCCUGAAGGAGCGACGCCGCGUGGAGGAUGAAGGUCUUCGGAUUGUAAACUCCUGUCAUGAGGGAGCAAGACACAGCGUUAACUGCGUAUGUGUUUGAUAGUACCUCAAGAGGAAGGGACGGCUAACUCUGUGCCAGCAGCCGCGGUAAUACAGAGGUCCCGAGCGUUGUUCGGAUUCAUUGGGCGUAAAGGGUGCGUAGGCGGUUGGGUAAGUCAGAUGUGAAAUUCCAGGGCUCAACCUUGGAACUGCAUUUGAUACUGCUCGACUAGAGUACUGGAGAGGAGACUGGAAUUCACGGUGUAGCAGUGAAAUGCGUAGAUAUCGUGAGGAAGGCCAGCGGCGAAGGCGAGUCUCUGGACAGUUACUGACGCUGAGGCACGAAGGCUAGGGGAGCAAACGGGAUUAGAUACCCCGGU